rnacentral:rRNA from 1 species
AGCAGCCGCGGUAAUUCCAGCUCCAAUAGCGUAUAUUAAAGUUGUUGCAGUUAAAAAGCUCGUAGUUGAACUUCAGGCCUGUCCAGAUGGUCCGCCUUAAUUGGUGUGUACUGUCCUUGGGUGGGUCCUACCUUCUGGCGAAGCGGCAUGGCCUUAGUUGGUUGUGUCGGGGAACCAGGACUUUUACUGUGAAAAAUUAGAGUGUUCAAAGCAGGCAUAUAUGCUCGAAUACAUUAGCAUGGAAUAAUGGAAUAGGACGAUGGUUCUAUUUUGUUGGUUCUAGGACCGUUGUAAUGAUUAAUAGGGAUAGUUGGGGGCAUUAGUAUUCAAUUGUCAGAGGUGAAAUUCUUGGAUUUAUUGAAGACUAACUACUGCGAAAGCAUUUGCCAAGGAUGUUUUCAUUAAUCAAGAACGAAAGUUAGGGGAUCGAAGACGAUCAGAUACCGUCGUAGUCUUAACC